GAUAAUCAAAACCGCACCCAAAA
rnacentral:snRNA from 1 species